rnacentral:rRNA from 1 species
CCUACGGGUGGCUGCAGUGAGGAAUAUUGGUCAAUGGACGAGAGUCUGAACCAGCCAAGUAGCGUGAAGGAUGACUGUCCUAUGGGUUGUAAACCUCUUUUAUCUGGGAGUAAAACGCUCCACGUGUGGGAUUCUGUAUGUACCAUAUGAAUAAGGAUCGGCUAACUCCGUGCCAGCAGCCGCGGUAAUACGGAGGAUCCGAGCGUUAUCCGGAUUUAUUGGGUUUAAAGGGGGCGGAGGUGGAAUGUUAAGUCAGUUGGGAAAGUUUGCGGCUCAACCGUAACAUUGCCGUUGAAACUGGCUGUCUUGAGUACAGUAGAGGUGGGCGGAAUGCGUGGUGUAGCGGUGAAAUGCUUAGAUAUCACGAAGAACUCCGAUUGCGAAGGCAGUUCACUGGACUGCAACUGACGCUGAGGCUCGAAAGUGUGGGUAUCAAACAGGAUUAGAUACCCUGGUAGUC